CAGAAAAUAUGAUAGUUUGGAACAUGUUGGAAUGGAGACAAAUGGAAAAGACAAAUUUUGGAGGUAGAACUGACAGCAGUUGAAGAUGGAAACUCCCAGGAAUGGGUGCUGCUUAUGAGAGAGGAGCUGGAAGGAGGGCAAAAGAACAUGAAAUCCACAGUCAGUACCAAAAUAACCACAACUAGCUGAUAUGGCCGCUUU
rnacentral:lncRNA from 1 species